rnacentral:rRNA from 1 species
UACGUAGGUGGCAAGCGUUGUCCGGAUUUAUUGGGUUUAAAGGGUGCGUAGGCGGUCUUCUAAGUCAGUUGUGAAAUACUUCAGCUUAACUGGAGAGGUGCAAUUGAUACUGGAAGACUUGAGUACUGAUGAGGUAGGCGGAAUGGACGGUGUAGCGGUGAAAUGCUUAGAUAUCGUCCAGAACACCGAUAGCGAAGGCAGCUUACUAAGGAGUAACUGACGCUGAGGCACGAAAGCGUGGGUAGCAAACAGG